GACGAACGCUGGCGGCGUGCUUAACACAUGCAAGUCGAACGGAAAGGCCCUGCUUUUGUGGGGUGCUCGAGUGGCGAACGGGUGAGUAACACGUGAGUAACCUGCCCUUGACUUUGGGAUAACUUCAGGAAACUGGGGCUAAUACCGGGUAGGAGCUCCUGCUGCAUGGUGGGGGUUGGAAAGUUUCGGCGGUUGGGGAUGGACUCGCGGCUUAUCAGCUUGUUGGUGGGGUAGUGGCUUACCAAGGCUUUGACGGGUAGCCGGCCUGAGAGGGUGACCGGCCACAUUGGGACUGAGGCACGGCGCAGAAUCCUACGGGAGGCAGCAGUGGGGAAUAUUGCACAAUGGGCGGAAGCGUGAUGCAGCAACGCCGCGUGCGGGAUGACGGGCUACGGGUUGUAAACCGCUUUCGCCUGUGACGAAGAGUGAGUGACGGUAAUGGGUAAAGAAGCACCGGCUAACUACGUG
rnacentral:rRNA from 1 species